rnacentral:rRNA from 1 species
UACAGAGGGUGCAAGCGUUGUUCGGAAUUAUUGGGCGUAAAGGGCGCGUAGGCGGUGCGGUAAGUCACCUGUGAAAUCUCCGGGCUUAACUCGGAGCCUGCAGGCGAAACUACCGUGCUGGAGUGUGGGAGAGGUGCGUGGAAUUCCCGGUGUAGCGGUGAAAUGCGCAGAUAUCGGGAAGAACACCCGUGGCGAAGGCGGCUCUCUGGGACGGUACUGACGCUGAGACGCGAAAGCGUGGGGAGCGAACAGG